GUACGUCACAGAAGUCUUCUUCUUCUGGAAAAUCUUAGUCACCUGAGAAUGCACAUGGAGAAUAUGUGGUUGUAAAGAAGUGGUUUCCUGUGGUUGGUGUGGAGCUGACAGAAAAUAUAUGACGGGGAGGAAGGAACACUGGAGGACUAUAGAAACAGAACAGGCAAACAACACCAAUGAUCCUAGACACAUUAGUUAAGCCUCACAAAUGGAGAAACUGAGAAGGAAGAGGAGGUUGCUAAGUGACGGUUGCUGUGAGACCUAUGUGGGCGGAGAGGCAGUUGAGGAAUGAGGAGCAUUGUUGCCAUGACGAUGGAUUGACUAUUAACACCGUUUAGGUCGGUGUAGAUGCAUUGUGGGCCGUGAGUGAUGGACAGUCAUCAUGAGCAUAAUGCUACAAGUGUGUGUUACAGCGAAUCUACUCAGUGUGUAUACACACAGCACAUAAAUAUAUAGCACUGAGCAGGCUACUGUAUUUAGUCACACAACUGCAAACAGAUACUAAACUCACACACCCAGUCUAUACUGCAUGUCUGUCUUCCAUUUGACGUAUAAAUAGUAUACGACUUACCACAGAGCACCAUCAAAGUGCUCCUUUUAUGGAGUGGAAAACAUGGACAGUUUGGACACAGAAGUUGGUGACAUAGCCACACAGUUAAACACCAAAAGAUAGGGACACCACGCUGGCUGCCACAUCACACAGGAGGACUCAGAUAGCCUUUUUAUGUCUGGCUCCUAGCCAUAUCCAAACCGAGGUCGCAUCAUAUCACACAUGAAAACACAAUAUACUUAACUAGGAACAUCCUUGCUCUCAUUUAACUCCUCUCCUCCCAAAGGCCUUCUCUGCUCUCCUCAUCUCAAUUUGAUACCCCUGCUGUUGCCACCCCUCCUAUGAGUGUUAGAGUGUUAGGACGGCAGGUAGCCUUGCGGUUAGAGCGUUGGGCCAAUAACUGAAAGGUCGCUGAUUCGAA